rnacentral:rRNA from 1 species
GAUGAACGCUGGCGGCGUGCUUAACACAUGCAAGUCGAACGGAAAGGCCCAAGCUUGCUUGGGUACUCGAGUGGCGAACGGGUGAGUAACACGUGGGUGAUCUGCCCUGCACUUCGGGAUAAGCCUGGGAAACUGGGUCUAAUACCGGAUAGGACGAUGGUUUGGAUGCCAUUGUGGAAAGUUUUUUCGGUGGGGGAUGAGCUCGCGGCCUAUCAGCUUGUUGGUGGGGUAAUGGCCUACCAAGGCGUCGACGGGUAGCCGGCCUGAGAGGGUGUACGGCCACAUUGGGACUGAGAUACGGCCCAGACUCCUACGGGAGGCAGCAGUGGGGAAUAUUGCACAAUGGGCGCAAGCCUGAUGCAGCGACGCCGCGUGGGGGAUGACGGCCUUCGGGUUGUAAACUCCUUUCGCUAGGGACGAAGCGUUUUUGUGACGGUACCUGGAGAAGAAGCACCGGCUAACUACGUG